rnacentral:rRNA from 1 species
CGAGGGGCAGCGGGGAGGAAGCUUGCUUUCUCCGCCGGCGACCGGCGCACGGGUGAGUAACACGUAUGCAACCUGCCCCUGUCAGGGGGACAACCCGCCGAAAGGCGGGCUAAACCCGCGUACAUGCCACCGGGGCAUCCCGGAGGCAGGAAAGGCUUCGGCCGGACAGGGAUGGGCAUGCGGCGCAUUAGGCAGUAGGCGGGGUAACGGCCCACCUAACCGACGAUGCGUAGGGGUUCUGAGAGGAAGGUCCCCCACACUGGUACUGAGACACGGACCAGACUCCUACGGGAGGCAGCAGUGAGGAAUAUUGGUCAAUGGUCGGGAGACUGAACCAGCCAAGCCGCGUGAGGGAGGAAGGUACAGAGUAUCGUAAACCUCUUUUGUCAGGGAACAAAGACUGGGACGCGUCCCCGGAUGAGUGUACCUGAAGAAAAAGCAUCGGCUAACUCCGUGCCAGCAGCCGCGGUAAUACGGAGGAUGCGAGCGUUAUCCGGAUUUAUUGGGUUUAAAGGGUGCGCAGGCGGUCUGUUAAGUCAGCGGUCAAAGCCCGGGGCUCAACCCCGGCCCGCCGUUGAAACUGGCAGUCUCGAGUUGGAGAGAAGUAUGCGGAAUGCGCGGUGUAGCGGUGAAAUGCAUA